GGGCCCGCACAAGCGGUGGAGCAUGUGGUUUAAUUCGAUGAUACGCGAGGAACCUUACCAGGACUUAAAUGUAAGUUGCAUGAUUCAGAAAUGGAUCUUUCUUCGGACUACUUACAAGGUGCUGCAUGGUUGUCGUCAGCUCGUGCCGUGAGGUGUCAGGUUAAGUCCUAUAACGAGCGCAACCCCUAUCGUUAGUUGCCAUCAAGUAAAGUUGGGAACUCUAGCGAAACUGCCGGUGCAAACCGUGAGGAAGGUGGGGAUGACGUCAAAUCAUCACGGCCCUUACGUCCUGGGCCACACACGUGCUACAAUGGUCAGUACAGAAAGCAGCCACUAUGCGAAUAGGAGCU
rnacentral:rRNA from 1 species